rnacentral:lncRNA from 1 species
GUAAACACUCCGGAGCGUGCACCCGCGUGCGGUGCGCGCACGUGCGUCCGCGACCCCCUGCGGGCGUGGGCCGCUCCAGGCCUGGCGGAGUCCCACGUAGGCUUCCCUAGUGCGGCGCAACCGUGGCAGGACAACGUUAGAUCCUAACUCCAGCUGUAGUUUCUCCGUCCGACGUCAUGUUUUAAACACCGUGAGACCGGAGGCUGCCGUACAAAAAACCAAGCGGACAGGUUGAGUGGGAAAAAAAUGUCUCUACACCGAGAGAAAUGCAUCAGCGUGAACGUUGUGUGUGCUCAAGAUUUAAAAAUGGAAAUACUGCUAAGCUGUUUCCCAUUAAAAAAAAAAAAACGAUUCGUUAAAAAUGGGGCCAGAAUUGCCCAGGACGCCGCGUUUCGUUUGCACUAUGGAUUGCCUUGUAGGAGUGAGAAAUAGUAGAGAUGGGAAAACGGAUCUGUGGAGCGGCGUGGAAGGCUUAGAGUAGCCUGUCAGGCGCUGAGCUGCUCGGAGCCUGGAAUCCGAGCGCACUUUGCGAUCAGUUCUUUCCAUUCUCAACAGUUUCAAUGCUGGGCAAAAAGAAUACACUUGUUUCUAGAGGUCCUGUUCACCUUCCUGCCACCCAAUAGCCAGGCUAUUAACAUUGAACUGGGCUUCGCAUCUGGAUCAAACUUUGAUCGUCUAGUGCAUAUUAUAGCUGUAAUCAUUUGUUUGUUUGUUUAUUUGCAGUGGCUAAAGUUGAAUCGUUGAAUCAUUUGAAUUGAUUGCAAGUUUAAUCCCUUGCAGGCCUUUUCAGCUUUAUUAUAUGUACAGUCAAAGGAAGCUUGGAGCAGGGAAGAAAGCUGCCAUAUGAAAGGUAAGCUACAAAUUAAAAGGAGAGAGGAAAUUGGGGUUUCUAGACAAAUUAAAUUACUUGUCGUUGUGGUAUAUUGAACCCAGAACUGCACACACAGCUAAGCUAACACUCCACCACUGAGUUUUAUCCCUAGACGGAAUCGUUUUUAAAGAUUUUUUUUAAGAAAUGUUUUUUGUUUGUAUUCGUGUCCGCAUGAGUUUAUGUACACCAUGUACGUGGAGAUACCUGAGAAGGCCAGAAGGUGUUCAGUCCCCUAGAUUGAGGUUACAGGCAAUUGUGAGCUGCCAUGUGGGCACUGGAAAUCAACUCCAGUUUCCUGCAAGAACAGUGCUCUGAAUCGCUAAGCCAGCUCUCCAGCCCCUGGACCUGGCUUUUAAAUAUAAACUUUUAAAAUAAAGCCUUUUUCUUUUGAUACUAGAAUAAGAAAAGUAUUCAUCUAAAAAAAUUAAACGUUAUAUUAUUGUUGCUAUGGUUAAAAUAGAGGAAUGGGCAUGGAACCAGGUAUAGUGGCCCAUACCUUUAAUACCAGGACUAGAAAGACAGGCAGAUGGAUCUCUAUGAGUUUGGGGACAGCAUGGUCUGCAUAAGACAACCCAACCAAGACUACAUAGUGAGACCCUGUCUUUCAAAAAAAAAAAAAAUUAGGGCUAUACAUAAUGAAACUUAUGAUACUUGGCUUCAGGUGUGUAGUUAUUCAUGUAAUUCAUAAAUUAAGAGAUGAUAGAACUUAAUAAAAAAUUGUAAAAUAUAGCUCAAAAUCAAAUGGGCUUGAUGAUACAACCCUAUAACCCAGUACUUGGGAGGAGGAAGCAGGAGGAUGAGUAGUAGUUCAAAGACAUUUCUCACUCUGUAGUGGAAUGGAAGCCAGCCUAGGAAAUGCAUAGCACCCUAUCUCAAAAAUAAUAAUACAAAGACUGAAGAGAUGGCUCAGCCCUUAAGAUCCUGUACUGCUGGUGCAGAGGACCUGGGUUCCAUUCCUAGAAUCCAGAUAAGGCAGUUCACAGUUACCUAUGACACCAGUUCUGAAGGAAUCUUUCUGCUGCUGUUGCACCUGUAUUCAUGUGCAUAGACAGACACAUACACAUACAAACAAAUCCUAGAAAGGUAAGAGGUAGGGGUGGGUGGCUAGUAAGCUCAGUGGCUAAGAGCAUUGGCUGCUCUUCCAGAAGACCCAGGUUCAGUCUUGCCCAUGGAGGCUCACUACUCUGUAACUUCAGUUCCACGGGAUAUGACACCAUCUUCUCACCUCCGUGGACAGCAGACAUGCACAUGGUGCACAGACAAACAUACCAUAAAUAUACAUUGUUUAUUAAAGAGAUUUAAAAAUACAAGAUUCAGCCGGGCAGUGGUGCACAUACCUUUAAUCCCAGCACUUGGGACACUGAGGCAGGUGGACCUCUGUGAGUUUGAGGUCAGCCCGGUUGGCAAAGCAAGUUUCUGGACAGCCAAGAUUACAAACAAAAGAAAAAGAAAAAGCAUAAACCACCAAAAUAUGGAUGCUUUGCACAAUUGAACUUAGUUCGUAUUUUUGAAAACAUGAAAUAUUCUACAUUGUUUUUGGUAUGUCAUUUCUAUUUUUGCAUGUGUUGUAUUAAAUAUAAACAUUUUAGGGGAAAAGGAAAAUUUUUAUUAAAUGAGUUUAAAAACACAAGAUUGAGCCAGGCAGUGGCAUACAUACCCUUAAUCCGAGUACUUAGGAGGCAGAGGCAGACAGAUCUCUAAGUCUGAGGCCUCAAAGUGAAGCACCAGAAAGACUAGAGGGAAGCUCGAUGUGGUGGUACCCAUACAAUCUUUCUGAACAACCAAGCCAGGUAUAAUAAUGCAUGCCUCUAAUCCCAGGGCAGAGGCAGUCAGAGCUCUGUGAAUUUGAGGCCAUUCAGGGUUAUAUAGUGAAACCCUGUCCAAAAAAAAAAAAAAAAAAAAAAAAGUCUCCAUUCUAAUAAAUAUAUUUUCAUCUUUUUCUUUUUCCCAUUUCUCUUUUUGAGAUUGAUCUCAAACUCACAGAACUCAAACAUGACCUUUAUGUACCAUCAUGCCUGUCCUAACAACGCAUUAUAAUAUAUGUACUAUUUUUAAAAUGUAACAGAUAUAAAAUAACUAUAGCAGCCACCUCUAAAGAACUGCUGUGCAAAGGUCUUUUCAUUUUCAUACCACAUUUUUCUAAAAUAUUGCACUCUUUCAUGGCACAGCUAGUACUCUCUUAAUCAUACAUAAAUAAAUAUAUACAUAUAUUUUUUAUGUGCUGGAGGAUGAGGAAAAAACAUUACUGGCAACACAGAAAAAAAAAAUCUCAGGAAACAAUAAGCAGGAGUGAUUCUCCAAGAGUCUCACAGCGCAGGGACUCCAUUCAAAUUCAUAAUCCAGAUCCCAUCUUCCCAACUGAUGAUUGAUAGAUGCCACUGAGUGUCUUUGGUAAAGUGCAAUUUGUUUUGCUUUUAGUGAAUAUGAAAGCAUCCAUACGGCUCUCUACAGGUCCACCAUGACUGCUGUCCUGUUUUUCCUUGAAAGCUGAGUCUAAAGUUCCUUGAAGAACUCGUUACAUUCCUUGUUUAUCCUGGGUUUGUUUGCUUUGCAGUCAGUGCUGAGGACCAGACCAAGGGCUCUGUGCAUGUUGGGCAACUGUCUACUGCUGAGCUCAUAUCUUUUUGUAUUGAUAUGUUUACUGUUAAAGUUGCACUUUGCUAGGGAUGUAGUUCAGUGGUAGAACCCUUACAUAAGCCAAGGACAUAAAUUCAUUCCCAUCACUGGAGAAAAGAUACGUUAUGUGUAUUACUUUGCAUAAGAUAUGUCAGUAGGGUAUACACAUAUGCCUAUGUAUGUACAUUUUAAGGAAGAAGCAGAAGAAAAUAGAGCAUCUUCAAAAGGGAAUGGAUUGGAGACAUUGCUCAGUGGUUAAGAGCACUGGCUGUUCGUGCAGAGAAAUAGUGUGUGAUCCAUCACCCCCAUGGCAGCUUGCAACUAUCUUUUAACUCUAGAUCUAUGGGGUUCAAUGCCCUCUUUUGGCCUCUGAGGGCACUAAGCAUACCUUUGGUGCACAGACAUACAAGUAGUCAAACACUUAGACACACAAAAUUUUAAAAUUCAUAAUCUUUUUUGUUCAUAAGAGAGAGACAGGGUCUCAUCGUGUAGCUCUUUUUUUUUUGUCCUAGAACUUGCUAUGUAGACCAGAUUGGCCUAAAAUUCAGAGAUCUGCCUGCUUUUACCUCCCAGAGCUGGGAUUUAAGACAAGCACAACCACAUGGUAAAAUACCCUGCCUCCAUCUUUGGCUUAAAAGCCAUUUUAUAGUAAAGACAAACUAGAUUCAUUUCUGUUUAUGAUUAAAUCUUUGCUUCUCAAGGAUUGGGCUAUGUCCCACCUGUAACCUUAGCUCCAAAAGGUUCUGUAGUGCCUGUUCCAGGAAAUGACAACCAUGUCUUUGUUCAAAAAGUUGUUAACGACCAUCUUGUAACACUCACUUUGUUUCAAAAGGUUGUAUGCCUACCUGUUGUUAUGCCCACUUUGCAAUCAUGUUUCUGUUUCAGGAAGUCAUUCCGGCUAACCUGUUAUGCUUGUGUUCUGUUCCUAUAACCUCAUCUAUUUUGCCCUCCAAAUCCCACAUUUGAAACCCCCUACCCAUGGACUAUAAGACUUUGUCUUCCGCCAGGCGUGGUGGCGCAUGCCUUUAAUUGCAGCACUCCAGAGGCAGAGGCAGGCGGAUUUCUGAGUUCCAGGCCAGCCUGGUCUACAAAGUAAAGACUUCGUCUUCCUCACAUCCAGUGCUGACAUCGUGAACCCUGUCUUACAGGGAGGCAGCCCAUGUACACAAAUAAAAAGGCUUGAUUUAAUU